GUCUGGUUGUUUUUAAAAAUCAGUCUGACCUGCCCACUGAUACUUUAAAGGCCGCGGUAUAAUGACCGUGCGAAGGUAGCAUAAUAAUUAGUCUUUUAAUUGAAGACUGGAAUGAAUGGUUGAACAAAAAGUAACCUAUCCCAAAGCCUUAAAUCUAACUUAACUUUUAAGUGAAAAGGCUUAAAUGAUCUUAAAAGACGACAAGACCCUAUAAAACUUUAUAUAAAGAUUAUAAUUCGAUAUUUGUUAGUUUAAUUUUUUUACUCAAUCUUAUGUAUUACGUUGGGGCGACGGAAGCAUAAUUAAACUGCUUUUUCAUUUUUUUUUUUACAAUUAUUUUUGAUUGAAUUAGACCCUUUUUAAAGAUCAAAAGAAAAAGUUACUUUAGGGAUAACAGCGUAAUUUUAUUUAAGAGUUCAUAUCGACAAUAAAGUUUGCGACCUCGAUGUUGAAUUAAAGUUCCUGUACAAUGCAGCCGUUGUAAUAGUAGGUCUGUUCGACCUUUAAAACUUUACAUGAUUUGAGUUCAAACCGGCGCAAG
rnacentral:rRNA from 1 species